GAUGAACGCUAGCGAUAGGCUUAACACAUGCAAGUCGAGGGGCAGCACAAGGUAGCUUGCUAUCUGGGUGGCGACCGGCGCACGGGUGCGUAACGCGUAUGCAACUUGCCCUAUACAGGAGGAUAACCCGUCGAAAGACGGACUAAUACUGCGUAUGCUCACAACUUGGCAUCAAGUGGUGAGGAAAGAAAUUCGGUAUAGGAUAGUCAUGCGUCCCAUUAGCUUGUUGGUGAGGUAACGGCUCACCAAGGCAACGAUGGGUAGGGGAACUGAGAGGUUUAUCCCCCACGCUGGUACUGAGACACGGACCAGACUCCUACGGGAGGCAGCAGUGAGGAAUAUUGGUCAAUGGGCGCGAGCCUGAACCAGCCAAGUCGCGUGAAGGAUGACUGUCUUAUGGAUUGUAAACUUCUUUUAUACGGGAAUAACAAGAGUCACGUGUGACUCCCUGCAUGUACCGUAUGAAUAAGCAUCGGCUAACUCCGUG
rnacentral:rRNA from 1 species